GCCCUUGUCAAACUCGUUCUCAGAUACAUGCUUGUCAAGGAAUGCUUUUGCCAGAUUACUGAAGUUUACACUUACUGCUUCUGCUGCAGCAUACCUCUUGAUGACAUCUAUAACUUCUGGCUUUAGAAUCUCUUCCUUGUUAGAUGAGUCACAAAGAUAGUAAAGAGCAGCAAUAGCAUAAUUAACUGUGUUUCUAACUGGGCUUGAUAAACAUUGGAUUAUAAGGGGUAUACCACCACAUUGAGUGAUCACUGCACCAUUUGAUGGAUCGGCACAAGAAUUGCAUAGACCCCCAAUCCCAAAUUCUACAAGCUUCUCAUUUGGCUCUGUUAUGCAAUCUAAGAAGAGUUCCAAAACAUUGAGCUGGCGUAAGAAUGCAUAAUUGUAAGGAUCAUAAGCAAAGUUUGCCAAGUU
rnacentral:misc_RNA from 1 species